GGAUCCAGACUUUGAUUAUGGCUCAGGAUGAACGCUAGCUACAGGCUUAACACAUGCAAGUCGAGGGGCAGCAUGAACUUAGCUUGCUAAGUUUGAUGGCGACCGGCGCACGGGUGAGUAACACGUAUCCAACCUGCCGAUGACUCGGGGAUAGCCUUUCGAAAGAAAGAUUAAUACCCGAUGGCAUAGUUCUUCCGCAUGGUGGAACUAUUAAAGAAUUUCGGUCAUCGAUGGGGAUGCGUUCCAUUAGGUUGUUGGCGGGGUAACGGCCCACCAAGCCUUCGAUGGAUAGGGGUUCUGAGAGGAAGGUCCCCCACAUUGGAACUGAGACACGGUCCAAACUCCUACGGGAGGCAGCAGUGAGGAAUAUUGGUCAAUGGACGAGAGUCUGAACCAGCCAAGUAGCGUGAAGGAUGACUGCCCUAUGGGUUGUAAACUUCUUUUAUACGGGAAUAAAGUGAGGCACGCGUGCCUUUUUGUAUGUACCGUAUGAAUAAGGAUCGGCUAACUCCGUGCCAGCAGCCGCGGUAAUACGGAGGAUCCGAGCGUUAUCCGGAUUUAUUGGGUUUAAAGGGAGCGUAGGCGGACGCUUAAGUCAGUUGUGAAAGUUUGCGGCUCAACCGUAAAAUUGCAGUUGAUACUGGGUGUCUUGAGUACAGUAGAGGCAGGCGGAAUUCGUGGUGUAGCGGUGAAAUGCUUAGAUAUCACGAAGAACUCCGAUUGCGAAGGCAGCUUGCUGGACUGUAACUGACGCUGAUGCUCGAAAGUGUGGGUAUCAAACAGGAUUAGAUACCCUGGUAGUCCACACAGUAAACGAUGAAUACUCGCUGUUUGCGAUAUACAGUAAGCGGCCAAGCGAAAGCGUUAAGUAUUCCACCUGGGGAGUACGCCGGCAACGGUGCAACUCAAAUGAAUUGACGG
rnacentral:rRNA from 1 species